UACUAGAGUAGCACUCGCAUAUCAAUAAGCGGAGGAAAAGAAACUAACAAGGAUUCCCCUAGUAACGGCGAGUGAAGCGGGAAGAGCUCAAAUUUGAAAUCUUAAAGGGUUUCCCUUUACGAAUUGUAGUUUAAAGAAGUGUUUUCUGUUGAGGUUUUGGUAAAAGUUCUUUGGAAUAGGACAUCAUAGAGGGUGAGAAUCCCGUAUUUGACCUUUACUUUCAACUUUGUGAUACACUUUCAAAGAGUCGGAUUGUUUGGGAAUGCAGUCCAAAAUGGGUGGUAAAUUUCAUCUAAAGCUAAAUAUUGGCGAGAGACCGAUAGCGAACAAGUACCGCGAGGGAAAGAUGAAAAGAACUUUGAAAAGAGAGUUAAACAGUACGUGAAAUUGUCAAAAGGGAAGCGUUUGACACCAGUGUUGUUUUUCUGAAAAUCAAUUAAAGAACUGUUUAUGCUAAGUUGUUUAGACUUUAUCAGCUAUCUGUUUAGUUUUGAGCUUUUCUUUAAUGCACUUUUCAGUUAACAAGUCAACAUCAAUUUCUUUUGCUGUAAAAAAGCUUGAGGAAGGUGGCUUGAGAUUCGUCUUAAGUGUUUAUAGCCUCUUGCCUAUGCAGUCGGAAAGAUUGAGGUCUGCAGCGUAGAUCCUUCGGGGCUAAAUGCAUUUGUGCUAAGUUAUAGCAUUUUAUAGACAACUUGUUGACUAUGAUUUGUCUUGUAGCUUACUCGCUUAUGUUAUUUUACCUACGCUUAGGAUGUUGAACUCUAUCACACACAG
rnacentral:rRNA from 1 species